rnacentral:misc_RNA from 1 species
AAGUCGUAACAAGGUCUCCGUAGGGGAACCUGCGGAGGGAUCAUUUCCAUUUAAAAACUUAAAAGAAAGGGGGUAACAGCCUUUUCUUUUUAGAAAAAGUUGGUUGUGUUCUUUAAAAAUUAAAAAAGUCCUUUCUUUUUUGAAAAGAAAAAAGAAGAGGGAAAUUUUAAGAAAUAUGGUUGUAGGAGUAUGGGUAUAUACUUGUAUUCAGAAACUACAACCAUUUUUUUUGAAAAACCCCUUUGAAUUUUUUCUUUCUUAAAAGUUGUGGGAUUUUUUUAAUCAAAAACUAGAAAGAAAAUAUCCUUAACCCAAUCUUGAUAAGAUAUCCUAAAAAAAAAGUUGAACAACUAUCAACGGCGGAUCUCUUGGUUCGU